rnacentral:rRNA from 1 species
GACGAACGCUGGCGGCGUGCUUAACACAUGCAAGUCGAACGGAAAGGCCCUGCUUUUGUGGGGUGCUCGAGUGGCGAACGGGUGAGUAACACGUGAGUAACCUGCCCUUGACUUUGGGAUAACUUCAGGAAACUGGGGCUAAUACCGGAUAGGAGCUCCUGCUGCAUGGUGGGGGUUGGAAAGUUUCGGCGGUUGGGGAUGGACUCGCGGCUUAUCGGCUUGUUGGUGGGGUAGUGGCUUACCAAGGCUUUGACGGGUAGCCGGCCUGAGAGGGUGACCGGCGACAUUGGGACUGAGAUACGGCCCAGACUCCUACGGGAGGCAGCAGUGGGGAAUAUUGCACAAUGGGCGGAAGCCUGAUGCAGCAACGCCGCGUGCGGGAUGACGGCCUUCGGGGUGUAAACCGCUUUCGCCUGUGACGAAGCGUGAGUGACGGUAAUGGGUAAAGAAGCACCGGCUAACUACGUG